rnacentral:rRNA from 1 species
UACGUAGGGUGCGAGCGUUAAUCGGAAUUACUGGGCGUAAAGUGUGCGCAGGCGGCUUCGCAAGUCGAGUGUGAAAUCCCCGAGCUUAACUUGGGAAUUGCGCUCGAAACUACGGAGCUGGAGUGUGGCAGAGGAAGGUGGAAUUCCACGUGUAGCGGUGAAAUGCGUAGAGAUGUGGAGGAACACCGAUGGCGAAGGCAGCCCCCUGGGUCAAGAUUGACGCUCAUGCACGAAAGCGUGGGGAGCAAACAGG